rnacentral:rRNA from 1 species
UACGUAGGUGGCAAGCGUUGUCCGGAAUUAUUGGGCGUAAAGCGCGCGCAGGCGGUCCUUUAAGUCUGAUGUGAAAGCCCACGGCUCAACCGUGGAGGGUCAUUGGAAACUGGGGGACUUGAGUGCAGGAGAGAAGAGUGGAAUUCCGCGUGUAGCAGUGAAAUGCGUAGAUAUCGUUGGAACGCCAAUGGUGAAAACAGACAGCUGGGAGUGUGCUGACGCUGAGACACGAAAGCCAGGGGAGCGAACGGG